CCUACGGGUGGCUGCAGUCGAGAAUCAUUCACAAUGGGGGAAACCCUGAUGGUGCGACGCCGCGUGGGGGAAUGAAGGUCUUCGGAUUGUAAACCCCUGUCAUGUGGGAGCAAAUUAAAAAGAUCGUACCACAAGAGGCAGAGACGGCUAACUCUGGGCCAGCAGCCGCGGUAAUACAGAGGUCUCAAGCGUUGUUCGGAAUCACUGGGCGUAAAGCGUGCGUAGGCAGUUUCGUAAGUCGUGUGUGAAAGGCGCGGGCUCAACCCGCGGACGGCACAUGAUACUGCGAGACUAGAGUAAGGGAGGGGGAACCGGAAUUCUCGGUGUAGCAGUGAAAUGCGUAGAUAUCGAGAGGAACACUCGUGGCGAAGGCGGGUUCCUGGACAGUAACUGACGCUGAGGCACGAAGGCCAGGGGAGCGAAAGGGAUUAGAUACCCUUGUAGUC
rnacentral:rRNA from 1 species